rnacentral:rRNA from 1 species
UACGGAGGGAGCUAGCGUUAUUCGGAAUUACUGGGCGUAAAGCGUGCGUAGGCGGUUUGUUAAGUCCGUUGUGAAAGCCCUGGGCUCAACCUGGGAAUUGCAGUGGAUACUGGCGAGCUAGAGUGCGGUAGAGGAUGGUGGAAUUCCCGGUGUAGCGGUGAAAUGCGUAGAGAUCGGGAGGAACACCCGUGGCGAAGGCGGCCAUCUGGACCAGCACUGACGCUGAGGCACGAAAGCGUGGGGAGCAAACAGGG